UACGUAGGAGGCAAGCGUUGUCCGGAAUCACUGGGCGUAAAGCGCGUGUAGGCGGAUCGCUAAGUCUGUGGUGAAAGCGCCUGGCUUAACCGGGCGAGGUCCAUGGAAACUAGCGGUCUGGAGGCCGGUAGAGGGGGGUGGAAUUCCGGGUGUAGUGGUGAAAUGCGUAGAGAUCCGGAGGAACACCAGUGGCGAAGGCGGCCCCCCUGGGCCGGUACUGACGCUGAGACGCGAAAGCGUGGGGAGCGAACAGG
rnacentral:rRNA from 1 species